AGCCAACAAUUCCCAACAAGGAAGUGCCAC
rnacentral:piRNA from 1 species